rnacentral:misc_RNA from 1 species
AUGAUUACGAAUCGUUGCCUUCUGUGCUGGCCAGAACACUGGCAAGUGCACGUCGGUGGCUUUCAUCCAAUCCCCUGUGAACCUUUGGCCUUUGCUAGCCUCGGCCGGCAGAGGAAUUUACACACACUCGAAUGUAAUGAAUAUAUUGUCGUGCGCAAGCACUAAUGUA